rnacentral:rRNA from 1 species
UACGAAGGGGGGCUAGCGUUGCUCGGAAUCACUGGGCGUAAAGGGUGCGUAGGCGGGUCUUUAAGUCAGGGGGUGAAAUCCUGGAGCUCAACUCCAGAACUGCCUUUGAUACUGAAGAUCUUUGAGUUCGGGAGAGGUGAGUGGAACUGCGAGUGAGAGGUGAAAUUCGUAGAUAUUCGCAAGAACACCAGUGGCUGAAGGCGGCAUCACUGGCCCGA